rnacentral:rRNA from 1 species
UGAAAGCUGGCUCCGGCCCGCAUUGUAAUUUGCAGAGGAUGCUUCUGGCAAGGUGCCUUCCGAGUUCCCUGGAACGGGACGCCAUAGAGGGUGAGAGCCCCGUAUGGAUGGACACCAAGCCUGUGUGAAGCUCCUUCGACGAGUCGAGUAGUUUGGGAAUGCUGCUCAAAAUGGGAGGUAAAUCUCUUCUAAAGCUAAAUACCGGCCAGAGACCGAUAGCGCACAAGUAGAGUGAUCGAAAGAUGAAAAGCACCUUGAAAAGGGGGUUAAACAGUACGUGAAAUUGUUGAAAGGGAAGCGCUUGUGACCAGACUUGCGCCGGGCGGCUCAUCAGGGGUUCUCCCCUGUGCACUCCGCCCGGCUCAGGCCAGCAUCGGUUCUCGUGGGGGGAUAAGAACAGUGGGAACGUGGCCCCCCUCCGGGGGGGUGUUAUAGCCCAUUGUACGAUACCCUCGUGGGGACCGAGGUUCGCGCUCCGCAAGGAUGCUGGCGUAAUGGUCAUCAGCGACCCGUCUUGAAACACGGACCAAGGAGUCGUCCAUUAGAGCGAGCGUUUGGGUGUAAAACCCCCACGCGUAAUGAAAGUGAACGCAGGUGAGAGCUUCGGCGCAUCAUCGACCGAUCCUGAUGUCUUCGGAUGGAUUUGAGUAAGAGUUUUAACGGACGGACCCGAAAGACAGUGAACUAUGCUUGUAUAGGGUGAAGCCAGAGGAAACUCUGGUGGAGGCUCGCAGCGGUUCUGACGUGCAAAUCGAUCGUCAAAUAUGAGCAUGGGGGCGAAAGACUAAUCGAACUGUCUAGUA